rnacentral:lncRNA from 1 species
AAUUUGUAUCUGUAAAAAAUGUUUUUAGAGUGAGAAUUUACACUUUUAUUUCAUUUUUUUAUUAGUAUUUUUUCAUGACAGGUGUCACCAUUUGAUUGGCUUGUGAUAAAAAAAAUUAAAAAAAAAAGUGGUUAGUGAAGGAAAAAUGGCACAGAUUCCUCUCUUCUGCAGAUAUUUUCUUCUUAAUUUAAUUUAAUUUGUUUUUGUUUUUUAUUAUCAUAGCAUUUUUCACGGAGAAAAAAAGUGGUUAGUGAAGGAAAAAUGGCACAAAUUCCUCUCUUC